CAUGCAAGUUGAACGGGAUUUGUAUGGUGCUUGCACCAUGUAAUGAGAGUAGCGCACUGGUGAGUAACACGUGGGAACAUACCUUGAAGUGGGGGACAACAGUUGGAAACGACUGCUAAUACCGCAUAAUCCCUGAGGGGGAAAGAUUUAUCGCUUUAAGAUUGGCCCGCGGAAGAUUAGGUAGUUGGUGGGGUAAAGGCCUACCAAGCCGACGAUCUAUAGCUGGUCUGAGAGGACGAACAGCCACAUUGGAACUGAGACACGGUCCAGACUCCUACGGGAGGCAGCAGUGAGGAAUAUUGGGCAAUGGAGGAAACUCUGACCCAGCUAUGCCGCGUGAGUGAAGAAGGUUUUCGAAUUGUAAAGCUCUUUCGGAUGGGACGAUGAUGACGGUACCAUCUAAAGAAGCCCCGGCAAACUUCGUGCCAGCAGCCGCGGUAAUACGAAGGGGGCAAGCGUUGUUCGGAAUUACUGGGCGUAAAGGGUGUGUAGGCGGAUUUGUAAGAUAGUGGUGAAAUACCUGAGCUCAACUUAGGAAUUGCCAUUAUAACUAUAGAUCUGGAGUGACAGAGAGGAUAUUGGAAUACCCAGUGUAGAGGUGAAAUUCGUAGAUAUUGGGUAGAACACCAGUGGCGAAGGCGAGUAUCUGGCUGUCAACUGACGCUGAGGCACGAAAGCAUGGGGAUCAAACAGGAUUAGAUACCCUGGUAGUCCAUGCUGUAAACGAUGAAUGCUAGUUGUCGGCAAA
rnacentral:rRNA from 1 species